rnacentral:lncRNA from 1 species
ACUUUCAGACAGGGCGGAGGAGGGGGAGCUGGGAGAAGGAGGAGCAGAGGGAGCUACAGAGAGCAGGCAGAGGAACAACCAUGGACUGGAGCAGAGCAGAGAAAGGGACAGAUAGAGCCAGCCACACAGCAGGCCGUAGGCUCUAAGGAUGCUUAAGUUAGAGUAGCUGGAGACUGCCCAAGCAGAAGGCCUAAGCUUUCAACUCAACUAGAAGCGCCUGCUUACCUCUAUCCCUGGCAGGUCAGAGAAAGCCCGUUAUAGACUUCCUGUUUGUCCAGAUGACUAUACAAUUAAUGCCUCAGGACUCACCUUCUUCUGGUCUGUGCCUGAACAAAAUCUACCUCUUCUUAAAGCAUGGUUUGUGUAGGCCCAAUCUAAACAGACUGCAGGAAGACUCAGGGAGAACCGCCCAAGUGGACCACGCCAUGGUCACCAACAAGCAACAGAAGCCACCCCAAAGCUAGCAGGAUAAGCACAAACCCUCAGGACAACUGACCUGGACUCUUAGAGCCAUUCAAAGGAGAAAAGCCUGGAAAGGAGAUGCAGGGAGUGGACUUGGUUAACUAUGAGGUGGACUAGUUUUGAAAAAUCAAAACUCAGCAAGAAGAGAUUAGUUCUGAGGUGAUGGGACUCAGGGCAGUGCUCCUAAGACAUUGUUCUUUACGGAUGAAGAAUCCUAUCUACCGCUUUAUUUAUGAUUUAUCCUACCUACAUACCCCCCCCCCCACACACACACACACACACGAGAGGGGGGGCGGGGGGGCAAAGACAGAGGGGGAGUGAAUAAAUGUAUGUAUAAUGGAUGGAUGGGUGGAUAGAUAGAUGGGUAUGUGGAUGGACAGACAGAUAGAUGGAAAUGCACUGCACACAGGCACUCACUGGAAUUUUUCUGAAUGUUUGUAAUCUUUCACAAUGAAAAGAUACAAAGAGAUGGCGAUAGAAGGAUAAAGAGAGAGAAGAGAAGAGUGAGCAGCCCAGCCUGGUCUACACAGAAAGUUCCAUGCUAGCCAGGAUUACAGUGAGACCCUGUCCAAAACAAAAAAUUAAAUUAGGGGGUGAGGGAUGAAGAGAUGGCUCAGAGAACUGGAGUUCUAUUGUGAGGCACCCAUGUCAGAUGUCACGUAUGUCAGAUGCCUCACAAGCACCGCAACACCAACUGCGGGAAUCUCAUGCCUCUGGCCUCCAGGAACACAGAUGCACACACAAUUAAAAAUAAUAAAAAUAUGCAAAUCAAGAGAACAAGAGGGUAUACCACAACAUGUGCCAGCAGAAAUAGAAGAAGGGUGGGUUCAUCAAAGACUCAGAGCUAAUAUCUCGGUCUUCCAUUAUGCUAUGAUUCAUAAUUACAUGUGUGAAGUGGAAACUUGAAGACUAAGCUUCCGCAUUGCCUCUUGCUGAAGAUAAAAGUCCACGACAGAGCAGCGAGCACUUCCUGGGACUUCCUUGCUGGCUCUCCUCUCCACCACCUGUUUGUUCUGCCAAGACUCUGAUGCGGUGAAUACGAAAACUAACAUUUUCAAGGAAUUUUUCUAUCACCCUUAAAUGGAAAAGUCUUAAAAAACCAAAAAACUAACACAACUUAAGAAAGCAACUAAGAAAACCAAGGCUCAGAAGGAAAUUAUAAAAAAUACAUUCUUGGGGCUGGAGACAUGGCUCAGCGGUUAAGAACACUGACUGCUCUUCCACAGGUCUUGAGUUCAAAUCCCAGCAACCACAUGGUGGCUUACAACCAUCCAUAAUGAGAUCUGAUGUCUUCUUCUGGGGUCUCUGAAGACAGCUA